AGGAAGCCUGGCUCUGGACGUGUGUGUGGUCUGUCUGACAAGCUUUUCUGUAUAUGUGUAAGAGAAUGUGUGUUCUGUGGGACAGGUGGAAAGACGGAUGGGAACAGACAGUCUAGGUCUCCGGACAGCAGUGUUCGAAUUACCAUUCCCUGCUCAAAUCUCAAAUCAGAUCCCGAAAAACGGAAGAGAAAGAAGAGAAAAUGUGCAGGAAAUAUUGGUGGGGGAGAUGCAGACCACAAGGACUGUCUGUUCUGUAAACAAAACUGGAGUGCCACACACAAUUCUGUAGCCCAUGACUACUUGAAGAGGGAUCAGUGGUCAAAGGGCUCUGGCUCACCUGCCUAAUACUCCACUAUCAGAUGUGCUGACUAAAUCUGGAAUAAAAGACAUGUUGUAAUCAAUUGGAGAAACACA